rnacentral:lncRNA from 1 species
CAGAGACCUCCCCUGGGAAAUGGUCCCUUGCUCCCGUUUAGUGUGCAGAGCUGGCACCCGCUCCAACCUGGUCCUUGUGGGUCUCGGCUGAUAGCACCCCGGCUGUCGUCUGAGUCUGUGAGGUGGAGCCAGAGUCAGGAAGGGGAUGUCCUGAAUGGGACACACCCCCUUACUGGAGACUCUUCUCCUGGUGAGGAGCAAUCCCUAACUCCACAUUCCAGGUGCACAGCUGGGGGCAGGAGGGGCUUCCCGAAAGCCAGGCACUUAGGGGGCAAAGACCCCGGGGGGUAAGUUUCUGCCUCCCACGCCAGCCCUCAGUGUGAACCAAGGGAUGCCAGGGCCAGGAGGCCAGGUGCAGGCCUCAGGGGUCCUCAGGGGGUCCACGGGAAGGGGCAGUUACUGUUCAAAGGCCUGUAGGACACAGUUGGAAAUUAUUUUUUACCCAACGUUAAGUGGCUGUGCAUAGUACAAAUUAGAUACUUUCUGUGAACAUGUUGCCAAUCUGAAAAAUAAUGCAUUCCAAAACCCAGAACUGGAACAUGGAAAUAGAGCAGAAGGUUUGAGGAUAAUCUAGAGGGAGGGGGAAGAACAUGACCUCAGGAGCCAGAGAGGGGCCAGUGCUUGUCAUUGGUCCCUUAAUGUGAGUCUGAGCUUCCUGGUAGCCACAGCAAGAAAUGAAAGCACAGUGGGAUUUUUAGUUUUGCCAAUAAAAGGACGUGUCAAGAUCCCCCACAGGACUGGUUUUCGUGGCCCCGAACAGAUUUAUCAGAUGUUUCUUUGUAAAAGAGGAAGUGAGGGGCUGAGAUUAUGGCUCAGUGGCAGAGCGCUUGCCUCACACGUGUGAGGCACUGGGUUUGAUCCUCAGCACCACAUUAAAAAAAAUAAAUAAAGGUAUUAUGUCCAUCUUCAACUAAAAAAAUAUUCAAAAAAAUUAAAAAAGAGGAAGCGAGGGCUGGGCCGUGACUCAGCAGGAGCGCACUUGCCUGGCACGUGUGAGGCACUGGGCUGAUUCUCAGCUCUGCGUAUAAAUAAAUAAAGGUCCCUCAACAACUAAAAAAAUAUUGAAAAAUAAAAAAUAAAUAAAAGAGGAAGCGAGUCCUUGCCUCUAAGGCCCUUUUCUUCUGUGGGUUCUCAAAGGAAGCUGAGGCCUGUUUAUAAAGCAGUUCCUCGAGGGGCGGAGCUAGCAGAGCAAAGGCCUCAGCCAUCCAGCACUGGGUCCUGCGUGGUCGAAGCCCCGGCCGUAGGCUCCAGGGGACGGGACCCCGCCUGCUUUGCUGGCCAGGACGUCCUCAGGCCAGUUCCAUGAUAGAAAGUACCAGGUGCCAGGUCCACCCCUGUUGGGUGAAGGCACAGGGAGGAGGCCCCUGGUCAUCUUCGUCCUCCUUCAGGAAGGACCGUGGGGGGAGGGGAGGGGCCACGGCCCCACUGAG